rnacentral:rRNA from 1 species
AACGUGCCCAAUAGUGGGGGAUAGCCCGGCGAAAGCCGGAUUAAUACCGCAUGAGACCUGAGGGUGAAAGCGGGGGAUUCGCAAGGACCUCGCGCUAAUGGAGCGGCCGAUAUCAGAUUAGGUAGUUGGUGGGGUAAAAGCCUACCAAGCCGACGAUCUGUAGCUGGUCUGAGAGGACGACCAGCCACACUGGGACUGAGACACGGCCCAGACUCCUACGGGAGGCAGCAGUGGGGAAUUUUGGACAAUGGGCGCAAGCCUGAUCCAGCCAUGCCGCGUGCGG